GGGUCACUCGGGGUCACUCGGGGUCACACCGGGGGUCCCUCGGGGUCCGUGGUCACUCAGGGUCACUCGGGGUCACUCGGGGUCACUCAGGGUCGCUCAGGGUCACACUCGGGGUCGGUGGUCACUCGGGGUCACUCGAGGUCACUCGGGGUCACUGGGGGCCACAGCCGGGGCCGGUGGCCGCGCCGUCGGCG